UAGGGAAUCUUCCACAAUGGACGCAAGUCUGAUGGAGCAACGCCGCGUGAGUGAAGAAGGCUUUCGGGUCGUAAAACUCUGUUAUUGAAGAAGAACGUGUGUGACAGUAACUGGUCAUGCAGUGACGGUAUUCAAUCAGAAAGUCACGGCUAACUACGUGCCAGCAGCCGCGGUAAUACGUAGGUGGCAAGCGUUGUCCGGAUUUAUUGGGCGUAAAGCGAGUGCAGGCGGUCUUUUAAGUCUGAUGUGAAAGCCUUCGGCUUAACCGAAGAAGGGCAUCGGAAACUGGAGACUUGAGUGCAGAAGAGGAGAGUGGAACUCCAUGUGUAGCGGUGAAAUGCGUAGAUAUAUGGAAGAACACUAGUGGCGAAGGCGGCUCUCUGGUCUGUAACUGACGCUGAGGUUCGAAAGCGUGGGUAGCAAACAGGAUUAGAUACCCUGGUAGUCCACGCCG
rnacentral:rRNA from 1 species